rnacentral:rRNA from 1 species
UACGUAGGGUGCGAGCGUUAAUCGGAAUUACUGGGCGUAAAGCGUGCGCAGGCGGUUCGUGAUGUCUGAUGUGAAAGCCCCGGGCUCAACCUGGGAAUUGCAUUGGAAACUAGCGGGCUGGAGUGUGGCAGAGGGGGGUGGAAUUCCACGUGUAGCAGUGAAAUGCGUAGAGAUGUGGAGGAACACCGAUGGCGAAGGCGGCCCCCUGGGCUAACACUGACGCUCAUGCACGAAAGCGUGGGGAGCAAACAGG